rnacentral:lncRNA from 1 species
AUUGUAUAUCAAACUAAAGGAGUAACAGAGUGGUAAAAGAAAAUUUCCACAGGCAAGAAAUAACCAACUCUACGAAAAAGAAUUGUAAAGAACAAGAGCAAGAAAAACACGAAGAGUGAAAGCAUAUAAGAGUUGAGCAUGUCGUCAUCCUUCAUUAAGAGAUAAACAAAAACAAAACUGAGAAUCUGAAGUAUGUUCGAUUAAUCACAACUGAACAAAGAGAGCCCUGAGAUUACUACUACUAACCUAUAACGUCGAAAGGGAGAUUAUACCCAUAAAGACUGUCCUCUUAGAAUCAUACAAAUGAUCACCUUUCAGUUUCUUACGAGGUGGACAU